rnacentral:rRNA from 1 species
CCUACGGGAGGCAGCAGUGGGGAAUAUUGGACAAUGGGGGCAACCCUGAUCCAGCCAUGCCGCGUGUGUGAAGAAGGCCCUCGGGUUGUAAAGCACUUUCAGUGAGGAAGAACGCCUGGUGGUUAAUACCCAUCAGGAAAGACAUCACUCACAGAAGAAGCACCGGCUAACUCCGUGCCAGCAGCCGCGGUAAUACGGAGGGUGCGAGCGUUAAUCGGAAUUACAGGGCGUAAAGCGCGCGUAGGUGGCUUGAUAAGCCGGUUGUGAAAGCCCCGGGCUCAACCUGGGAACGGCAUCCGGAACUGUCAAGCUAGAGUGCAGGAGAGGAAGGUAGAAUUCCCGGUGUAGCGGUGAAAUGCGUAGAGAUCGGGAGGAAUACCAGUGGCGAAGGCGGCCUUCUGGACUGACACUGACACUGAGGUGCGAAAGCGUGGGUAGCAAACAGGAUUAGAUACCCUUGUAGUC